GUAUGAAAUGAUGCGCAAAUGCGGAUAUCAAUGUAAAUCAGGACAACAAACCAAUAGAGGUGCUCAGCGAAAACAACAAAAUGUGAAAAGGGUUUAUCAGAAACAUUGGGGUCAUGAUAUACCUUUAUAUCCGCAUUUGCGCAUCAUCUCUGAC